GCAUGUGCUGUGAGCUCGAUGAGUAGGGCGGGACACGUGGUAUCCUGUCUGAAUAUGGGGGGACCAUCCUCCAAGGCUAAAUACUCCUGACUGACCGAUAGUGAACCAGUACCGUGAGGGAAAGGCGAAAAGAACCCCGGCGAGGGGAGUGAAAAAGAACCUGAAACCGUGUACGUACAAGCAGUGGGAGCACAGGUUUACCUGUGUGACUGCGUACCUUUUGUAUAAUGGGUCAGCGACUUAUAUUCUGUAGCAAGGUUAACCGAAUAGGGGAGCCGCAGGGAAACCGAGUCUUAACCGGGCGUUAAGUUGCAGGGUAUAGACCCGAAACCCGGUGAUCUAGCCAUGGGCAGGUUGAAGGUUGGGUAACACUAACUGGAGGACCGAACCGACUAAUGUUGAAAAAUUAGCGGAUGACCUGUGGCUGGGGGUGAAAGGCCAAUCAAACCGGGAGAUAGCUGGUUCUCCCCGAAAGCUAUUUAGGUAGCGCCUCGUGAACUCAUCUCCGGGGGUAGAGCACUGUUUCGGCUAGGGGGUCAUCCCGACUUACCAACCCGAUGCAAACUGCGAAUACCGGAGAAUGUUAUCACGGGAGACACACGGCGGGUGCUAACGUCCGUCGUGAAGAGGGAAACAACCCAGACCGCCAGCUAAGGUCCCAAAGUCAUGGUUAAGUGGGAAACGAUGUGGGAAGGCCCAGACAGCCAGGAUGUUGGCUUAGAAGCAGCCAUCAUUUAAAGAAAGCGUAAUAGCUCACUGGUCGAGUCGGCCUGCGCGGAAGAUGUAACGGGGCUAAACCAUGCACCGAAGCUGCGGCAGCGAC
rnacentral:rRNA from 1 species